UCAAAUGUAAGAUUUCUGUGGGAAAAGCAAGUCUUAUGGCUUGACUGGUGUGCAGAUCUGUGUUUGACAAUGUAUUGACUAUCCACGGACUUCAGGUGGAAGGGGUUUUCAAUCACGAUUUUUUCCCACCAUAACUUUCUUGUUUUUUUUCUUUGCGAAUAUUUACACCAAGAGAAAUACAAACACACGGAUAGACAGCCAUAAAUUAUGCUUUACUUGUUAAUUCCCAGUGGGAUGGGAUACCUCCUGGCUGAGGGAUGUAAAUUAGUUUGAGCUAAUUAUACCCAUGGGUCUAUAGUCUUAUCCCAAAACACAAAAACAUUGGACAUUUCAAUGGAAAGGCUAAUUCUCCCUCCUACCCCUGUGUUUCUAAACACUUCAAACAAAGUGUCCGUCUGUAAACAUAUGUUGAAAUGUAAACAACGCAAUUGAGACCAUAACUAGUAAAUAUACAAAUUUUGUCA